GACGAACGCUGGCGGCGUGCCUAAUACAUGCAAGUUGAGCGCUGAAGGUUGGUACUUGUACCAACUGGAUGAGCAGCGAACGGGUGAGUAACGCGUGGGGAAUCUGCCUUUGAGCGGGGGACAACAUUUGGAAACGAAUGCUAAUACCGCAUAAAAACUUUAAACACAAGUUUUAAGUUUGAAAGAUGCAAUUGCAUCACUCAAAGAUGAUCCCGCGUUGUAUUAGCUAGUUGGUGAGGUAAAGGCUCACCAAGGCGAUGAUACAUAGCCGACCUGAGAGGGUGAUCGGCCACAUUGGGACUGAGACACGGCCCAAACUCCUUCGGGAGGCAGCAGUAGGGAAUCUUCGGCAAUGGACGAAAGUCUGAACGAGCAACGCCGCGUGAGUGAAGAAGGUUUUCGGAUCGUAAAACUCUGUUGGUAGGGAAGAACGUUGGUGGGAGUGGAAAGCUCAUCAAGUGACGGUAACUACCCAGAAAGGGACGGCUAACUACGUG
rnacentral:rRNA from 1 species